AGUUAGCCACUGCAAAACUAUAGUGCAUCUGAUUUCUGCAAAAAAGAGAUGAUCUUAGGCCUUUGAAUGCAACAAAAGAACAAAUGAACUCCAUACCUCUGAGAGCCCUUCAAAACUGAAUGGAUCCUGUCACAAACAAGCUGUCAUGCCUGAGGGAAGAAUAGGUGGUGACCUAGCUGCCAUGAGGUCUACAGGGUUUCUGUUCCCCCUCACCACCUGCCUUCUUCAGCACCAGUGUCCUCCAGGACAGGAAACACGUGUCUGGCCAGACCCAGUUCCUGGGUCAAGCCACUGUAUUCUGGUGCUGGAGAGGAAGAGAUUUCCAAUGAAACAGUUAAAGGUAUCAAAAUGCCAACAGAUGUCAAAAGGAAUGGGCCCUGAAGUACCACAGAGUAGCAAAGGAGGAUUGACAGGUAUACAACUGAAAUUCAUCCCACUUGGAAUGCGAUGAGAAGAUUUGCUUUCUAAGACAUACAGUUGAGUUUUAAUACUGAGUUAUAUGAACCCCUCUCCAGUGCUUUGACUGGGGUCACAAAGUGAAAAGGACACCACUGGGAACUAUGUGCAGGCCCCAGAGAAGUCACCUAUUUCUUAAGGGCUACAGGAGACCGUUCCUAGAUAAGAUGGUUUGUGCUGCUCUGCUGCUAUAACUAACAUCCCAGAAAAUGGUUUGGGCCCAAACCAACUUCUUGUCUCCUGCACAGUCCUUAGCAGCAGCUCAGAAUAUAUAAAAUAUGGAACCUAUUCUUAAGAAGCAUUUUGAUUAUGGCUGCCUUUGUAUGACAGCAAUAGAGUUUAAUGUAUGAAUAUGUGCAACUGCAUGCUAGUUGGCCUCCAGGGUUUGCAAGCUUCCCAGAAAAAUUAAAUUGACUAGCACUGCUGCAGUCUUAGUUUUGCUUAUCCAAAUGUUUCUAUUUAUUCAUUUGCUUCUGCUUUAAGUCUAGAAAAUGUCUUUAUCAUUUUAGAGUACUUAUAAAUUAGCAAUUAGGACAGAUGAUAUCUCACAUUUCUUUUUUUUUUAUGAAAAGUUUUCUUUAAAAAAAAACAGAACAAUGUAGUUGAUAAGUGUGUAUGCUAAUAAAUUUUAAAUAAAAUCAAGUAUUUGUUGACCA
ensembl:lncRNA